UUUUUGCGGAGAGUUUGAUCCUGGCUCAGGAUGAACGCUGGCGGCGUGCUUAACACAUGCAAGU
rnacentral:rRNA from 1 species